CUUUGAUUGACAGGGCAGUCAAAUCACCGCCUGAUUGUGUGACUUUCCUCUCGUAAGGCUCGGGGGUGAGACUUGAACAACUUCAAUCUCUUGGAGCCUCUCAGGGAUCAGGCUGCUCCAUAUUCACUCUUUAAAAAGAUCGGCACUCAUUUUCCUUUAAAGUUGGGGUUAGUCUGCCUGAGUUGCAUACUAAUCGGGAGAAUGAAUUCAUUACCAACAGCUAGAUUAGGUUCUGCAGCUGCUGCGCCCGGGGAUCUAUAAAGGCGGCAGCACGAAAAUCCUGUGCUGAUCAAGGCAGCCUGAAAAUGCAGUCCUGCGUGUUCUUCAGUAUUUACAGUUGGACUGUGAAGAAGGCUGAGCGCCGAAGAAUUGAUGCUUUUGAGCUGUGGUGUUGGAGAAGACUCUUGAGAGUCUCUUGGACUGCAAGGAGAUCCAACCAGUCCAUUCUGAAGGAGAUCAGCCCUGGGAUUUCUUUGGAAGGAAUGAUGCUAAAGCUGAAACUCCAGUACUUGGGCCACCUCAUGCGAAGAGUUGACUCAUUGGAAAAGACUCUGAUGCUGGGAGGGAUUGUGGGCAGGAGGAGAAGGGGACGACAGAGGAUGAGAUGGCUGGAUGGCAUCACUGACUCGAUGAACGUGAGUCUGGGUGAACUCUGGGAGUUGGUGAUGGACAGGGAGGCCUGGUGUGCUGCAGUUCAUGGGGUCGCAAAGAGUCAGAUACGACUGAGCAACUGAUCUGAUCUGAUCUGAUUGUAUUUCCUCCAUCUUUUACCCCCCUUUCUGUACCUUUUGCCUUUUUUUCCCUUGAUGCUGAAUUCAGAAUCAUUUAUCCUGUCUUGUUUCCCAAAUAUAAUGUAGGCAUUCAGUGAAUCUUAGUUGAAUGAAAUGAAAUACUGAACUUAAGAAAAGUUCUUACUAUAUGAGACUAGCUUUCUGUGAGAUAUACAACGUGAAAAAACUUCACCUGAUAUAAGGCUUUCAGUUUUAUGUUACAAAACCCCAGGCCUGCAGGAUAGAUGACUCAGUCAGGGUCACAGAGCUUGGUAGUAGUAUAUGUGGCCCCAGAACUCAGAUCUGACUUUAAAUGCAUUCUUCUUGCCACUUCACUGCACAAUUUCUCAUUCAAAUCCAAAAUAUUGUAAUAUGCAUAAUGACGAUAUGUAUACAAUAUUUUCUCUGUUUUCACUUAUGAGAAAUUACAUUGUUAUUUAUAAAACAAGUCUGUUUCCUCUCAAUGACCAGUGAUAAAUAAGGAAUUUGUAAGUGAUGUAGGAAAGGACCAGGAAGUCUUAAGAACUAAUCAAAGAGGGUUUUGAUAGCUUUAGUAAGAUAGUGACUUCCUAGUAGAAAGCCCUCAGGUAAAUAAACAGAGCGUCUUCUCGUUCA
rnacentral:lncRNA from 1 species